GGGGCUUUAGUUCAAUUGGUAGAACAGUUGGUGUGUUGAUCCAUCAGAUCCGGGUUCGAUUCUCGGAAGCUCCA
rnacentral:tRNA from 1 species